UCGAGAAUCUUCGGCAAUGGGGGAAACCCUGACCGAGCGACGCCGCGUGCGAGAUGAAGGCCUUCGGGUUGUAAAUCGCUGUCAGAGGGGAGGAAAUGCCGGUGGGUUCUCCCACCGGUUUGACCUAUCCUCAGAGGAAGGACGGGCUAAGUUCGUGCCAGCAGCCGCGGUAAGACGAACCGUCCAAACGUUAUUCGGAAUCACUGGGCUUAAAGGGUGCGUAGGCGGUCCGGCAAGUUGGGUGUGAAAGCCCUCGGCUCAACCGAGGAACUGCGCCCAAAACUGCCGGGCUUGAGGGAGACAUAGGUGAGCGGAACUUAGGGUGGAGCGGUGAAAUGCGUUGAGAUCCUAAGGAACACCAGUAGCGAAAGCGGCUCACUGGGUCUCUUCCGACGCUGAGUGCACGAAAGCCAGGGGCACGAACCG
rnacentral:rRNA from 1 species